GACGAACGCUGGCGGCGUGCUUAACACAUGCAAGUCGAACGCUGAAGCUCAGCUUUUGUUGGGUGGAUGAGUGGCGAACGGGUGAGUAACACGUGAGUAACCUGCCUCCUUCUUUGGGAUAACGCCCGGAAACGGGUGCUAAUACUGGAUAUUCACUGGUCUUCGCAUGGGGGUUGGUGGAAAGGGUUUUUCUGGUGGGGGAUGGGCUCGCGGCCUAUCAGCUUGUUGGUGGGGUGAUGGCCUACCAAGGCUUUGACGGGUAGCCGGCCUGAGAGGGUGACCGGUCACAGUGGGACUGAGAUACGGCCCAGACUCCUACGGGAGGCAGCAGUGGGGAAUAUUGCACAAUGGGCGCAAGCCUGAUGCAGCGACGCCGCGUGAGGGAUGGAGGCCUUCGGGUUGUGAACCUCUUUCGCUCAUGGUCAAGCCGCAACAAUGGUUGUGGUGAGGGUAGUGGGUAAAGAAGCGCCGGCUAACUACGUG
rnacentral:rRNA from 1 species